AGUUUUCCCCGGGUAAAUUUAGCAUAUCAGUAAGCGGAGGAAAAGAAACUACCCAGGAUUCUCCUAGUAACGGCGAGUGAACAGAGAUUAGCCCAGCGCCGAAGCCUGAGGAUUAUUUUCUUAAGGCAAUGUGGUGUUUAGGUUUGUACCUGGGUAUGGUAGUUAACUCUAAGUCCAUUCUUGAGAAUGGCUUUUGCUAAAACAGGUGAUAGUCCUGUAUGGGUUAACUUUGUUGUGCCAUGCCUUAGUUGUACAUUCCUUAGAGUCGGAUUGCUUGAGAAUGCAGUCCAAAGUUGGUGGUAAACUCCAUCAAAGGCUAAAUACCUGCGUGAGUCCGAUAGUUAACAAGUACCGUGAGGGAAAGUUGAAAAGUACUCUAAAUAGAGAGUAAAUAGUACGUGAAACUACAUGGAGGUUAACCGAACAGAGUCAGACUUUUUGAAUGUGGAAAUUCAACCAGAAGUGAUAAUUUGUGCGUUUACUUAUCGAUAAUGCUUUAAAUCAGUCUUGUACGUUAAGUAUGAUGAAUGAGUCUAUAGGCAUUAACGCAGCUUUUGGUGUUUUUUUCAUGUUUAACUCCACAUUUAGUGCUCGGUCUCUUGGCUGAUGACUAACAAUAAUGGUUCGGGUUUACCUGGACUGUUUUUGAUGGCAGUUGUUGUUGAACCCUCGGGUUUAAUAAUUAAUUGACUUAGGUCAGCCGUCAUUAGCUUAAUAGUACCAUGCACUCUUUGAUAGAAUGCUAUAGUGGUAUGCAAAGGUAUAAUUAUUAUUUUGCAUCGUCACUAAGUGUGGUGUAAUAUAAUUAUUUAUGCUGUAUGUAUACCGCUUGGUAUUUGUAAAAUGUGGUGUCGUGAGGAGAUUUUCUGUUCGACCCGUCUUGAAACACGGACCAGUGGAGGAACAA
rnacentral:rRNA from 1 species